rnacentral:tRNA from 1 species
GCCUUCGUGGUGUAGUGAUCAGCACUUUUGGCACGCAUUCCAGAGGUCCGUGGUUCGAGUCCCGGCGAAGGCG